rnacentral:rRNA from 1 species
UAGGGAAUCUUCGGCAAUGGACGAAAGUCUGACCGAGCAACGCCGCGUGAGUGAAGAAGGUUUUCGGAUCGUAAAACUCUGUUGUUAGAGAAGAACAAGGACGUUAGUAACUGAACGUCCCCUGACGGUAUCUAACCAGAAAGCCACGGCUAACUACGUGCCAGCAGCCGCGGUAAUACGUAGGUGGCAAGCGUUGUCCGGAUUUAUUGGGCGUAAAGCGCGCGCAGGCGGUUUCUUAAGUCUGAUGUGAAAGCCCCCGGCGCAACCGGGGAGGGUCAUUGGAAACUGGGAGACUUGAGUGCAGAAGAGGAGGGUGGAAUUCCAUGUGUAGCGGUGAAAUGCGUAGAUAUAUGGAGGAACACCAGUGGCGAAGGCGGCUCUCUGGUCUGUAACUGACGCUGAGGCUCGAAAGCGUGGGGAGCAAACAGGA